GUAGGGUGCGAGCGUUAAUCGGAAUUACUGGGCGUAAAGCGUGCGCAGGCGGGCUUUUAAGCCAGACGUGAAAUCCCCGGGCUUAACCCGGGAAUGGCGUUUGGGACUGGAAGUCUGGAGUGCGGCAGAGGAGACUGGAAUUCCUGGUGUAGCAGUGAAAUGCGUAGAUAUCAGGAGGAACACCGAUGGCGAAGGCAGGUCUCUGGGCUGACACUGACGCUCAUGCACGAAAGCGUGGGGAGCAAACAGGAUUAGAUACCCUGGUAGUCCACGCCCUAAACGAUGUCGACUGGUUGUUGGGGGUUUGACACUCUCAGUAACGAAGCUAACGCGCGAAGUCAUCCGCCUGGGGAGUACGGUCGCAAGAUUA
rnacentral:rRNA from 1 species